UAUUGCUGUUGGGAGUGUAAAAUGGCACAACCACUUUGGAAAACAGUUUAGCAGUUUCUUAAAAAGUUAAACAUACACCUACCAUGUGAUGCAGUCAUUCUAAUUCUAGAUCUUUACUCCAAAGAAAAAGAAACACAUGAGCACACAAAGACUGGCACACAAAUGUUCUUAGCACUUUGGAAUAGCAAAAGACUGGAAGAGAUCUCAAUGCCCAUCACCAGAGUGACAACUCCAUAGAGACUGGGGCGAUACCGAUUUGCACAAGCACAUCUCUAAUGUUUAACAUAGAAUCUGGUGCCUACUAAGGACUUGACACAUAGUUGUUGAAGAAAGAAGAGAGAGAGAAGGGUUGAGAAUAACUCCAAGUUUUAACCUGAGUAAAAGAGAGGAUGCGUUACUGCUGAUAGCUAUGGAGGAAUCAAGAAGAAAGGCAGAAAUGGAGCAGUGAAGGAGAAGGUGAAGGACAGCCAAGUAGUGCUGGAGCGUAGCCAAAGAGCAAGUCAUUAAGUCCAGCCCACACUGAAGGGGAGGAGAAUUAGACUCCACCUCUUGAAGGGAGAAGUCUCAAAGAAUGUGUUGACCUAUUUGAAAACCAUCACCAUAAGGCAAGGAAAAAAGGUAUAUCAAUGCCUUAAGGAUGAAGAAAAGGUUUGGAUCAUCAGUUGUGAACAGCCAUACAGGAGUCAAUGUAGUAAAUAAGCAACUGUUAUAAAAGUGUGAUACCUUUUCUACCUAUGCUACAGGACAGAAGCAGGACCAGGGAAAGUAAGAUGAAGAGGCCGGCCAAGUGUUUGGGACUUGGAAAUGGUGUCAAUGGAUAUGCAAAUGAGAUCUGGGAAGUGAAAAGGCUCCUCUUGAAUCUUAAAUGGGGUAUUAAAUACACACACUUCUAAGUGAUGGUAUGGAUUUUAAUGUGUUUCAUUCCUGUGACCUGCAUGUUCUCAUAACCACUGGGCCGAACAAGGUCAGUGCAUUUGAGACCAGAAUGAGGUAUUGAGGUUGUAAAAGUAGACAAGGAAAGGUGUGAGAUACAGAAAAAAAUGACUUCAGGAAAGCCAUGUUUAUCUCUGUUUGUUAGGAAAACAGUGACUUUCCUAAGGUUAAAUUUAGACCAAGGGCCCCAGGUCAUUCCCAGCUUGCUCUCUCCUUUGUUCUCUUCUCCCUUGCCCUCGGCUGAGGAAUUCAGCCUGCUUUCUAUUUCCUCUUUAAUUCAGCCACAUCCUACUUCCCAAUUUCUGGAAUGCAUAAUCUAUUGCUAUCUACUCACCUUCUUCCCCACCAUUUUACACGUCCC